UACGGGGGGGGCAAGCGUUGUUCGGAAUUACUGGGCGUAAAGGGCUCGUAGGCGGCCGACUAAGUCAGACGUGAAAUCCCUCGGCUUAACCGGGGAACUGCGUCCGAUACUGGCAGGCUUGAAUCCGGGAGAGGGAUGCGGAAUUCCAGGUGUAGCGGUGAAAUGCGUAGAUAUCUGGAGGAACACCGGUGGCGAAGGCGGCAUCCUGGACCGGCAUUGACGCUGAGGCGCGAAAGCCAGGGGAGCAAACGGG
rnacentral:rRNA from 1 species